rnacentral:rRNA from 1 species
AGAGUUUGAUCCUGGCUCAGAACGAACGCUGGCGGCGUGGAUAAGACAUGCAAGUCGAACGAGAGAAUUGCUAGCUUGCUAAUAAUUCUCUAGUGGCGCACGGGUGAGUAACACGUGAGUAACCUGCCCCCGAGAGCGGGAUAGCCCUGGGAAACUGGGAUUAAUACCGCAUAGUAUCGAAAGAUUAAAGCAGCAAUGCGCUUAGGGAUGGGCUCGCGGCCUAUUAGUUAGUUGGUGAGGUAACGGCUCACCAAGGCGAUGACGGGUAGCCGGUCUGAGAGGAUGUCCGGCCACACUGGAACUGAGACACGGUCCAGACACCUACGGGUGGCAGCAGUCGAGAAUCAUUCACAAUGGGGGAAACCCUGAUGGUGCGACGCCGCGUGGGGGAAUGAAGGUCUUCGGAUUGUAAACCCCUGUCAUGUGGGAGCAAAUUAAAAAGAUAGUACCACAAGAGGAAGAGACGGCUAACUCUGUGCCAGCAGCCGCGGUAAUACAGAGGUCUCAAGCGUUGUUCGGAAUCACUGGGCGUAAAGCGUGCGUAGGCUGUUUCGUAAGUCGUGUGUGAAAGGCGCGGGCUCAACCCGCGGACGGCACAUGAUACUGCGAGACUAGAGUAAUGGAGGGGGAACCGGAAUUCUCGGUGUAGCAGUGAAAUGCGUAGAUAUCGAGAGGAACACUCGUGGCGAAGGCGGGUUCCUGGACAUUAACUGACGCUGAGGCACGAAGGCCAGGGGAGCGAAAGGGAUUAGAUACCCCUGUAGUCCUGGCAGUAAACGGUGCACGCUUGGUGUGCGGGGAAUCGACCCCCUGCGUGCCGGAGCUAACGCGUUAAGCGUGCCGCCUGGGAGUACGGUCGCAAGAUUAAAACUCAAAGAAAUUGACGGGGACCCGCACAAGCGGUGGAGUAUGUGGCUUAAUUCGAUGCAACGCGAAGAACCUUACCUGGGCUUGACAUGUAAUGAACAACAUGUGAAAGCAUGCGACUCUUCGGAGGCGUUACACAGGUGCUGCAUGGCCGUCGUCAGCUCGUGUCGUGAGAUGUUUGGUUAAGUCCAGCAACGAGCGCAACCCCUGUUGCCAGUUACCAGCACGUGAAGGUGGGGACUCUGGCGAGACUGCCCAGAUCAACUGGGAGGAAGGUGGGGACGACGUCAGGUCAGUAUGGCCCUUAUGCCCAGGGCUGCACACGUACUACAAUGCCCAGUACAGAGGGGGCCGAAGCCGCGAGGCGGAGGAAAUCCUAAAAACUGGGCCCAGUUCGGACUGUAGGCUGCAACCCGCCUACACGAAGCCGGAAUCGCUAGUAAUGGCGCAUCAGCUACGGCGCCGUGAAUACGAUCCCGGGUCUUGUACUCACCGCCCGUCA